CACUCCUACGGGAGGCAGCAGUGGGGAAUAUUGGACAAUGGGCGCAAGCCUGAUCCAGCCAUGCCGCGUGAGUGAUGAAGGCCCUCGGGUUGUAAAGCUCUUUCACCGGUGAAGAUAAUGACGGUAACCGGAGAAGAAGCCCCGGCUAACUUCGUGCCAGCAGCCGCGGUAAUACGAAGGGGGCUAGCGUUGUUCGGAUUUACUGGGCGUAAAGCGCACGUAGGCGGACUAUUAAGUCAGGGGUGAAAUCCCGGGGCUCAACCCCGGAACUGCCUUUGAUACUGGUAGUCUUGAGUUCGAGAGAGGUGAGUGGAAUUCCGAGUGUAGAGGUGAAAUUCGUAGAUAUUCGGAGGAACACCAGUGGCGAAGGCGGCUCACUGGCUCGAUACUGACGCUGAGGUGCGAAAGCGUGGGGAGCAAACAGGAUUAGAAACCCCAGUAGUCCCAUG
rnacentral:rRNA from 1 species